GCCUCCCACACCAUUCGCUAAACUUGUCUGGAUGUGUUUGAGUAGCAAACCUACCCUGGGUCCCUGCCAGGUGCCCCUUGGGCCUUGGCAAAUCCUGCCCCACCAGUUGGAUGAAAUCUGUUCAGGCAUGCUUGAACCCCAGCAGCAAUGAAGUUUCCUUCCCGUCCACAAAGAGGGGAAGCGGGAAAGGAAGCCGAGGCCAAAAAACAGCCAGUGGAAGGACAGAGCCAUCCAGUGGCCCUUCCUGCCCCGGCGCUUCUGUGUGGUAUUUAUUUGGAGGCUUAAAUUGGCUGCAAAAAUGGCCUUUUUCCCUUCAUAUCCUCCGGACCCGAAACUGCAGCUGAUCCUCUCCUUCCAUCAUGUGGGUUCAAACUCCUGGCGUAAGGCUUGUGCCCACUGAGCCCUCUCGCAGACCCAGAGAACCAGUGUAAAAAUGAACAGCUCACUUUCUUCGGAGAAAUACAAUUCAAAGCCACUUACACAGCCACCUCCUCUCCGUCACAUAUCUACGAUAACCUGAGACCUUACCUCCCGGGACGCGAGCUCGGCUCGGUGCUCCCGGGACACCAGCUCGGCUCGGUGCUCCCAGCUCCUCAGGUUGCUUCAUGAAUGGACCACCGUUAUCUCUCCUGGGGGGCUUGCAGUGUCGCCCUGGCUGACCUGGCACUCCCUGUGCUUCGGUCCCCACGUCACUCUCGCUGCAGCUUCCUGUCAGCUCACGCACCUGGCUUUACGCUCCCACCGUCGAACUGCCAUUUCAGAAUCGAGUAGCAAAUGGCCGAGUGGCCCAAACAGGCCUAAAGCCUAGAGUGUUUGGGGACGAAGAGUCCCUCUCAAAAACAAAAUAAAUAAAGGUGGUCCUCAUUUCUCAUGAUCCCAUUGGUGAGGUAGACAGUAUUCUCUCCAUCUGCGUUUGUGUCGAAAAUGGGGGUGGGGGGGCGAAGUAUGUGUUUCUACAGAGAGAAAACUUUCAUUUUGCUUUUUGAAGACAGGUAGCGACGUCUCUUGAUGUAGCCUGGGCUAGUCUUUUAUUUUUAUUUUUUCACUUUACAUACCAAACCCAGUUCCAUCUGCUCCUCAGAGAGGGUAAGGCAUCCCAAGGGGAAUCAAUGAAGUCUCAAAGUCUGUCCCAUCACCACACUGAGGCAGGACCAAGUCUCCCCUCCCCCCAGACUGAGAAAGGUAUCUCGCCAUAGGAAAUGGGCUCCUAAAAGCCAGUUCGUGCACUAGGGAUAGAUCCUGGUCCCAUUGCCAGUGGCCACACAAAGUGCUCAAGCCAUCCACCGUCACAUGCCUUCAGGGGGCCUAGUUAGACCUAUGCAGGUUCCGCCUGGGUGAGCCUUGAACUUGGAACCCAUCAAUGAAGGAAUGACCACAUAGAUGCUGUGGUGUGUAGAUAGAAACCAGGUCUGUCCCUGGGUGUGCACUUGCCGCUUGGCAGGAUUUGUUAGGAUUCUCAGUCCCUUGCCACUCCAUUGACUCGCCGAGAACUGCCACUCAGAGGCACAUGUCCAAAAUUCCCUGUUCUGCGGUUAUGUAACCGGCUCUCACACCUUCUAAAUCUUGGAACUGUUCCCUAUUCUUUCGAAGAGCGCAACUUUGAUUUCACUCUAUUCAGCUUUGUUCCCUCAUGUACAGGUUAAUCCUCGAGCUCCGGCACUUUUCUCAGGGGCUCUGACUACAUCCUUGCAUCCCUCCGUUGCCGAGCUUCCCCCACUGGACCCGGGAACGCUUUUCAGACAACAGAGGUGGGUUGUUCUGUGGCUGCUUCUCACGCCCUGUCUGUGUGCCUUCAGGAAACUCCCGUGAUGAGGCUUCUCUCAACUAUUUGUCACAACCUUCAGAAUUCCUGGAAUCAGGC